rnacentral:rRNA from 1 species
CCCCCAGCUUUUCGGAGUUGGGGUGUGCGUUAGUUUGAGCCCCACCCGUGAAUACUAAACCUCAUGUUGCUUUGGCGGGCCCGCCGCGCUAAUGCGGCCGCCGGGGAUGUCGGAGCGCGCCUAAACUCGCGCUCCGCUUCCGGGCCUGCGCCCGCCAAUGGAAAUGAACUUCUAAUGAAAUAAGAC